GACCAGACUCAGUGUGUCUUCAAGUGUUCCCACAAUUCUCACCUCUCUGCACCAGAGUGAAGUAACCGAAGCGGAUCUCAAGACUUUGACAUGAGGAGUUUAGUGACAGUCUACAGCUGAGAUUCCUGGUGUGACAGACAGGGUAAUGUAUUCCCAGCUGGUGCAGAAUGGGUCAUCUUCAGACACCAAAUGAAAAAUAAAGGAAACAAUUGGAAAAUCAAUGAAGAUUUCCAGUUAUGUAUCUGCCUGUCUGAAUAUAAAUAUUACCAAAACAACUGGAACACUCCCCUUUACUUUUACUUAACCAGGAUUUGUCAGAAAAGCGAAGUUAUACAUCUAUUGCGCCAAGGAUCACAGAUAUACAACGGGUUGCAGGGAUUGUCCUUUUUUUUUUUUUUUUUGCAACAAUUGUAAAAACAGAAAUAAAUAAAAUCCAAUUUUCUGAUUAUUUAUUAUUGCCAGGAAAUCCUCCUCAAACUAAACUUGAGCCCACUAUAUUUAUUCAAGGACUAAAAGUCUUAUAGGAUUAUAAUACAAGGUUUCUUUUAAUCUGUGAUUAUAUUUUUUAUUAGAACAAUAGAUUUGUAUGCAUUCGAAGCACAUAUCCUUUACAUGACUUCAUGGGAGAUCAUUGGGGGUUACUCUACAACUGAAAUAAUUAAAUAAUAAAUGUCAAUGGUCGAAAAAAAUAUGUUGUUUUAAAUAAAUAGAUAAUUAAAAUAUCUCUGUGUUUGUAAGUGUGUAUG